rnacentral:rRNA from 1 species
GACGAACGCUGGCGGCGUGCCUAAUACAUGCAAGUCGAACGCAUUUUCUUUCACCGUAGCUUGCUACACCGAAAGAAAAUGAGUGGCGAACGGGUGAGUAACACGUGGGCAACCUGCCCAUCAGCGGGGGAUAACACUUGGAAACAGGUGCUAAUACCGCAUAAUUCCAUUUACCGCAUGGUAGUGGGAUGAAAGGCGCUUUUGCGUCACUGAUGGAUGGACCCGCGGUGCAUUAGCUAGCUGGUGGGGUAACGGCCUACCAAGGCUGCGAUGCAUAGCCGACCUGAGAGGGUGAUCAGCCACACUGGGACUGAGACACGGCCCAGACUCCUACGGGAGGCAGCAGUAGGGAAUCUUCGGCAAUGGACGCAAGUCUGACCGAGCAACGCCGCGUUAGUGAAGAAGGUUUUCGGAUCGUAAAACUCUGUUGUUAGAGAAGAACAAGGAUGAGAGUGGAAAGUUCAUCCCUUGACGGUAUCUAACCAGAAAGCCACGGCUAACUACGUG